CCUACGGGGCGCUGCAGUGGGGAAUAUUGGACAAUGGGCGAAAGCCUGAUCCAGCCAUGCCGCGUGUGUGAAGAAGGCCUUCGGGUUGUAAAGCACUUUCAGUGGGGAAGAAAGCCUUGGGGCUAAUACCCUCGAGGAAGGACAUCACCCACAGAAGAAGCACCGGCUAACUCCGUGCCAGCAGCCGCGGUAAUACGGAGGGUGCGAGCGUUAAUCGGAAUUACUGGGCGUAAAGCGCGCGUAGGCGGUCUGAUAAGCCGGUUGUGAAAGCCCCGGGCUCAACCUGGGAACGGCAUCCGGAACUGUCAGGCUAGAGGGCAGGAGAGGAAGGUAGAAUUCCCGGUGUAGCGGUGAAAUGCGUAGAGAUCGGGAGGAAUACCAGUGGCGAAGGCGGCCUUCUGGACUGACACUGACGCUGAGGUGCGAAAGCGUGGGUAGCAAACAGGAUUAGAUACCCGGGUAGUC
rnacentral:rRNA from 1 species